rnacentral:rRNA from 1 species
AGAGUUUGAUCAUGGCUCAGGACGAACGCUGGCGGCGUGCCUAACACAUGCAAGUCGAACGAGAACGAUUCCGACUUGUCGGAAUCUAGUACAGUGGCGAACGGGUGAGUAACGCGUAAGUAAUCUGCCCUCGGGCUGGGAACAACUUCGAGAAAUCGGGGCUAAAUCCCAAUAAUGCAGCGGGCCCUUCGGGGUACAGUUGUUAAAGGUGGGCUCUUCUAUCCCGCCACCUGUGGAUGAGCUUGCGUCUGAUUAGCUAGUUGGUGAGGUAACGGCUCACCAAGGUAACGAUCAGUAGCUGGUCUGAGAGGAUGAUCAGUCACACUGGAACUGAGACACGGUCCAGACUCCUACGGGAGGCAGCAGUGGGGAAUCUUGCACAAUGGGGGAAACCCUGAUGCAGCAACGCCGCGUGACCGAUGAAGCUCCUAGGAGUGUAAAGGUCUGUCGUGAGGGAAGAACCCUCCGGUUCUUAAUAUUAACCGGAGCUGACGGUACCUCACAAGAAAGGUCCGGCUAACUCCGUGCCAGCAGCCGCGGUAAUACGGGGGGGCCGAGCGUUGUCCGGAAUUAUUGGGCGUAAAGGGCGCGCAGGCUGACAGGUCAGUCGGAUCUGAAAUCUUACGGCUCAACCGUAAACGUGGAUUCGAUACUGCCUGUCUUGAGUUCGGCAGGGGGAAACGGAAUUCCUGGUGUAGCGGUGAAAUGCGUAGAUAUCAGGAGGAACACCUGUGGCGAANGCGGUUUCCUGGGCCGAAACUGACGCUGANGCGCGAAAGCGUGGGGAGCGAACAGGAUUAGAUACCCUGGUAGUCCACGCUGUAAACGAUGAGCACUUGAUGUGGGGAGAUUCGACCCUCUCCGUGUCGUA